rnacentral:rRNA from 2 species
UGGAUCCAGACUUUGAUCCUGGCUCAGGAUGAACGCUAGCUACAGGCUUAACACAUGCAAGUCGAGGGGAAACGAUAGAGAAAGCUUGCUUUUUCUAGGCGUCGACCGGCGCACGGGUGAGUAACGCGUAUCCAACCUGCCCAUCACUUGGGGAUAACCUUGCGAAAGUAAGACUAAUACCCAAUGAUAUCUCUAGAAGACAUCUGAAGGAGAUUAAAGAUUUAUCGGUGAUGGAUGGGGAUGCGUCUGAUUAGCUUGUUGGCGGGGUAACGGCCCACCAAGGCGACGAUCAGUAGGGGUUCUGAGAGGAAGGUCCCCCACAUUGGAACUGAGACACGGUCCAAACUCCUACGGGAGGCAGCAGUGAGGAAUAUUGGUCAAUGGGCGAGAGCCUGAACCAGCCAAGUAGCGUGCAGGAUGACGGCCCUAUGGGUUGUAAACUGCUUUUAUAAGGGAAUAAAGUGAGCCUCGUGAGGCUUUUUGCAUGUACCUUAUGAAUAAGGACCGGCUAAUUCCGUGCCAGCAGCCGCGGUAAUACGGAAGGUCCGGGCGUUAUCCGGAUUUAUUGGGUUUAAAGGGAGCGUAGGCCGGAGAUUAAGCGUGUUGUGAAAUGUAGAUGCUCAACGUCUGCACUGCAGCGCGAACUGGUUUCCUUGAGUACGCACAAAGUGGGCGGAAUUCGUGGUGUAGCGGUGAAAUGCUUAGAUAUCACGAAGAACUCCGAUUGCGAAGGCAGCUCACUGGAGCGCAACUGACGCUGAAGCUCGAAAGUGCGGGUAUCGAACAGGAUUAGAUACCCUGGUAGUCCGCACGGUAAACGAUGGAUGCCCGCUGUUGGUCUGAAUAGGUCAGCGGCCAAGCGAAAGCAUUAAGCAUCCCACCUGGGGAGUACGCCGGCAACGGUGCAACUCAAAUGAAUUGACGGA